UGUUCUGGGAAGCCGAAGCCUCUGUUCCGGCUCCGCAGGUUCCCUGGACACCGGCUUCCCGAGGCGGGCUGGUCUCGGAAGCGCACACCGCUCCUCUACCUUCCCCGCCGCCUUCUUCUCCAUCUCAGCUCUUACCCCAGCUCCUGUCUGGGGUUCUCACCUGAUCUUGGAGGCUGGUUCUGGACAUUUGGCUCAUAUUUUCUCUUCGCUACUUCCUCGGGUGGCGGUCGAAGUGUUCCACAGCAAAAGCAGCAGCAGCAACAGCAACAGCAACAGGUGAGGCACCCUUCUUAAGCUCCAGCACUGCGUAGAGGGUUGACCCAGUUUUGGACAACCGGCGGGCUGCCUCCUCCACAUGAGCCAUGUAUGAUCUGGGGCAGCGGAGAAGAAACAUUUGUGAGAACUUCCACAGGGGUGGCCACGGAGACACGAACUACCAAUGACAGGAAACUCACGGCCUUUAGGGGCUUCGCAGAAAAGCGGCUACUAUGGACAGCUCCCACAGCCUUGAAGCCUCUCGGAGAAAGGGUUUCCAUGUCACGCUGCCUGUUGUCCUAGCCUCCUAUCUGUUCUCCCUACUGCCAGUCUCAUGCCAGAUACUGCUACCAGGCUGCACCUGAGGCAUAUGGCCAGGGAUUG